AAGCAUUUGAGUCUGUUAAUGAGCCUUCCCUGCAGUGACUGUCAGUGGAAAACUUUGGAAUCCUCUUAGAAGGAUUGUCAUCAGAAUUACUGAUAAUGUAUGAAAAUCAUCCGGAACAGUACUUGACCCACUGUCAAGUGCUCAAUAAAAUGAGAGAUGCUGAGUUAUGAUGACCAUGAACCACAGGCCGGUUGGCCAUUUCAAGCUGGAAGUACUGCGUGUAAUGAAGAAUAAUGCCCCGCCCCCCAAGAUGUCCACAUCCUAAUCCCUGGAAACUGUGAUAACGUUACCUUACAUGGCA